UGUAUGGGGAUCUGCCCGAUAGAGAGGGAUAACCACUGGAAACGGUGGCUAAUACCGCAUAAUGUCUACGGACCAAAGCAGGGGCUCUUCGGACCUUGCACUAUCGGAUGAACCCAUAUGGGAUUAGCUAGUAGGUGGGGUAAAGGCUCACCUAGGCGACGAUCUCUAGCUGGUCUGAGAGGAUGAUCAGCCACACUGGGACUGAGACACGGCCCAG
rnacentral:rRNA from 1 species